rnacentral:rRNA from 1 species
GACGAACGCUGGCGGUAUGCUUAACACAUGCAAGUCGAACGAGACGAGGUGGAAGUGCUUGCACGGAAAUCUUAGAAAGUGGCGAACGGGUGAGUAACGCGUGGGUAACCUGCCCUAUGGAAAGGACUCGCCUCGGGAAACUGGGAGUAAUGCCUUAUAAUACAGUGAAGUCGCAUGGCUUUGCUGUUAGACGCUCCGGUGCCAUAGGAUGGACCCGCGUCCAAUUAGCUCGUUGGUGAGAAAAAAGCCCACCAAGGCGACGAUGGGUAACCGGUCAGAGGGGGCGAACGGUAACACUGGAACUGAGACACGGUCCAGACUCCUACGGGAGGCAGCAGUGGGGAAUAUUGCGCAAUGGGGGUAUCCCUGACGCAGCAAUACCGCGUGAGUGAAGAAGGUUUUCGGAUCGUAAAGCUCUGUUAUUGGGGAAGAAAAAAGACGGUACCCAAGAAGAAAGUCCCGGCUAACUACGUGCCAGCCGCCGCAGUAA